GCCCCAGUGGCACAAAGGUUAAGUGCUUGGCUGCUAACCGAAAGGUUGGUGGUUUGAACCUGCCCAGUGGCU
rnacentral:tRNA from 1 species